rnacentral:rRNA from 1 species
GAUGAACGCUGGCGGCGUGCCUAAUACAUGCAAGUCGAGCGAACAGACGAGGAGCUUGCUCCUCUGACGUUAGCGGCGGACGGGUGAGUAACACGUGGAUCACCUACCUAUAAGACUGGGAUAACUUCGGGAAACCGGAGCUAAUACCGGAUAAUAUAUUGAACCGCAUGGUUCAAUAGUGAAAGACGGUUUUGCUGUCACUUAUAGAUGGAUCCGCGCCGCAUUAGCUAGUUGGUAAGGUAACGGCUUACCAAGGCGACGAUGCGUAGCCGACCUGAGAGGGUGAUCGGCCACACUGGAGCUGAGACACGGUCCAGAGUCCUACGGGAGGCAGCAGUAGGGAAUCUUCCGCAAUGGGCGAAAGCCUGACGGAGCAACGCCGCGUGAGUGAUGAAGGUCUUCGGAGCGUAAAACUCUGUUAUUAGGGAAGAACAAAUGUGUAAGUAACUAUGCACGUCUUGACGGUACCUAAUCAGAAAGCCACGGCUAACUACGUG